rnacentral:rRNA from 1 species
CGCGAAUGGCUCAUUACAACAGCUAACAAAUCUACUUGAUCUUGACACAAUCCUACUUGGAUAACUGUGGUAAUUCUAGAGCUAAUACAUGCAUUAAAGCUCUGACCUUCGGGGAAGAGUGCAUUUAUUAGAACAAAACCAAGCGGCUUCGGCUGUUUUCGGUUGACUCAUAGUAACUGAGCUGAUCGCAUGGUCUUGCACCGGCGACGUGUCUUUCGAGUAUCUGCCGUAUCAACUUUCGAUGGUAGUGUAUCUGACUACCAUGGUGAUCACGCGUAACGGAGAAUAAGGGUUCGACUCCGGAGAGUUCGCCUGAGAAAUCGCGAACACAUCUAAGGAAGGCAGCAGGCGCGAAAAUUACCCACUCUCAGCACGAGGAGGUAGUGACGAAAAAUAACGAGACCGUUCUCUUAUGAGGCCGGUCAUCGGAAUGGGUACGAUUUAAACCCUUUAACGAGUAUCUAUGAGAGGGCAAGUCUGGUGCCAGCAGCCGCGGUAAUUCCAGCU